GCUUGAGAGAACUCGGGUGAAGGAACUAGGCAAAAUGGCACCGUAACUUCGGGAGAAGGUGCGCCCUUUGGUGUGGUCACGUGCGUGACUGAGCAUCGAAGGGUCGCAGUAACCUGGCCGCUGCGACUGUUUAUCAAAAACACAGCACUCUGCAAACACGAAAGUGGACGUAUAGGGUGUGACGCCUGCCCGGUGCUGGAAGGUUAAUUGAUGGGGUCAGCCGCAAGGCGAAGCUCUUGAUCGAAGCCCCAGUAAACGGCGGCCGUAACAAUAACGGUCCUAAGGUAGCGAAAUUCCUUGUCGGGUAAGUUCCGACCUGCACGAAUGGCGUAACGACAGCGGCGCUGUCUCCACCCGAGACUCAGUGAAAUUGAAAUCGCUGUGAAGAUGCAGCGUUCCCGCGGCAAGACGGAAAGACCCCGUGAACCUUUACUAUAGCUUUACACUGAACGUUGAGUUCUUCUGUGUAGGAUAGGUGGGAGGCUAUGAAACCAGGACGCUAGUUCUGGUGGAGCCAUCCUUGAAAUACCACCCUGAAGUGCUUGACGUUCUAACCUAGGCCCGUAAUCCGGGUCAGGGACCGUGUAUGGUGGGUAGUUUGACUGGGGCGGUCUCCUCCCAAAGAGUAACGGAGGAGCACGAAGGUACGCUCAGCGCGGUCGGACAUCGCGCACUGUGUGCAAAGGCAUAAGCGUGCUUGACUGCGAGAUCGACGGAUCAAGCAGGUACGAAAGUAGGUCUUAGUGAUCCGGUGGUUCUGUAUGGAAGGGCCAUCGCUCAACGGAUAAAAGGUACUCCGGGGAUAACAGGCUGAUACCGCCCAAGAGUUCAUAUCGACGGCGGUGUUUGGCACCUCGAUGUCGGCUCAUCACAUCCUGGGGCUGUAGCCGGUCCCAAGGGUAUGGCUGUUCGCCAUUUAAAGUGGUACGCGAGCUGGGUUCAGAACGUCGUGAGACAGUUCGGUCCCUAUCUGUCGUGGGCGUUGGAGAUUUGAGGGGGGCUGCUCCUAGUACGAGAGGACCGGAGUGGACGUUCCGCUGGUGUUCGGGUUGUCAUGCCCAUGGCAUUGCCCGGUAGCUACGAACGGAAGUGAUAACCGCUGAAAGCAUCUAAGCGGGAAGCACGCCCCAAGAUGAGAUCUCCCGAGAGCUUGACUCUCCUAAAGGCACCAUCAAGACUAGGUGGUUGAUAGGUCAGGUGUGGAAGCGCAGCAAUGCGUUGAGCUAACUGAUACUAAUGAGCCGUGAGGCUUGACCG
rnacentral:rRNA from 1 species